AUUGAACGCUGGCGGCAGGCCUAACACAUGCAAGUCGAACGGUAGCACAGAGGAGCUUGCUCCUUGGGUGACGAGUGGCGGACGGGUGAGUAAUGUCUGGGAAACUGCCCGAUGGAGGGGGAUAACUACUGGAAACGGUGGCUAAUACCGCAUAACGUCUUCGGACCAAAGUGGGGGACCUUCGGGCCUCACACCAUCGGAUGUGCCCAGAUGGGAUUAGCUAGUAGGUGGGGUAAUGGCUCACCUAGGCGACGAUCCCUAGCUGGUCUGAGAGGAUGACCAGCCACACUGGAACUGAGACACGGUCCAGACUCCUACGGGAGGCAGCAGUGGGGAAUAUUGCACAAUGGGCGCAAGCCUGAUGCAGCCAUGCCGCGUGUAUGAAGAAGGCCUUCGGGUUGUAAAGUACUUUCAGCGGGGAGGAAGGCGUUAAGGUUAAUAACCUUGGCGGUUGACGUUACCCGCAGAAGAAGCACCGGCUAACUCCGUGCCAGCAGCCGCCGUAA
rnacentral:rRNA from 1 species